CUUUUAUGACCUUAAGAGAAGAUCUCAAGCUGAUCCACAGCGAUAAGAUUAUUUUCCUCCUCAUAAACAUGAGUGGAGUAACAGUGGAGUUUCUGCCUCCUAACUUUGUAAUACAAACUGGUGAAUCAUCACAGAUCUUUCAGUGUUACCUUUAGGGAAACAGGGAACUACUUUCAAAAAUCUCCUGUUAUAGGAUCAAUGCCUUGCUAUAAAGAAAACUAAGAGGGAUGAAAAAUUGGA